rnacentral:rRNA from 1 species
UACGAAGGGGGCAAGCGUUGUUCGGAAUUACUGGGCGUAAAGGGCGCGUAGGCGGCUUAUCAAGUCAGGCGUGAAAUUCCCGGGCUCAACCUGGGGGCUGCGCUUGAUACUGAUGAGCUUGAAUGCGGGAGAGGAUAGUGGAAUUCCCAGUGUAGAGGUGAAAUUCGUAGAUAUUGUGAAGAACACCGGUGGCGAAGGCGGCUAUCUGGCCCGUAAUUGACGCUGAGGCGCGAAAGCGUGGGGAGCAAACAGG